GACGAACGCUGGCGGCGUGCUUAACACAUGCAAGUCGAACGGAAAGGCCCUGCUUUUGUUGUGUGCUCGAGUGGCGAACGGGUGAGUAACACGUGAGUAACCUGCCCUUUACUUUGGGAUAACUUCAGGAAACUGUGGCUAAUACCGGAUAGGAGCUCCUGCUGCAUGGUGUUGGUUGGAAAGUUUCGGCGGUUGGGGAUGGACUCGCGGCUUAUCAGCUUGUUGGUGGGGUAGUGGCUUACAAAGGCUUUGACGGGUAGCCGGCCUGAGAGGGUGACCGGGCACAUUGGGACUGAGAUACGGCCCAGACGCAUACGGGAGGCAGCAGUGGGGAAUAUUGCAAAAUGGGCGGAAGCAUGAUGCAGCAACGCCGGGUGCGGGAUGACGGCCUUAGGGUUGUAAACCGCUUUCGACUGUGAAGAAGAGUGAGUGACGGUAAUGGGUAAAGAAGCAACGGCUAACUACGUG
rnacentral:rRNA from 1 species